CUGUUUGAGAUUUUGUGUGUCACUGUCAAUAGAGCAGAAGGGGGACUUUGGACAGACAUGAGGUCAGGUCAUUGAUGAACUGGUUUCCCAAACACUGAUAAGAGUAUAUAGACAUUUAUUACCAAGAGAAUCACUCACCAUUACCAGGAGAAAUACUCACCAUUACCAGGAGAAUCACUCACCAUUACCAGGAAACUGAUAAGAGUAUAUAGACAUUUAUUACCAAGAGAAUCACUCACCAUUACCAGGAGAAAUACUCACCAUUACCAGGAGAAUCACUCACCAUUACCAGGAGAAAUACUCACCAUUACCAGGAGAAUCACUCACCAUUACCAGAAAUACUCACCAUUACAGGAUAAUCACUCACCAUUACCAGGGGAAAUACUCACCAUUACCAGGAGAAUCACUCACCAUUACCAAGAGAAUCACUCACCAUUACCAGGAGAAUUACUCACCAUAGCUGACUACUGCAGUUGUCAAUAUGCCUGGUAAAACCUACUUUUCUCCUUCUUCUCAUCUCAUCCUGCAUCUCAAAGAAACCAGGGGGAAGACACUAAGUGUCAAAUGUGGACCUUGCUGAAGAAGUUGGAGUUUGCAACUUCAACCGGACAAAACAUAGCUGGAACACAAAUUGUGAUGAAAAAGAGCAGAUUAAAAAAUUAUAUAUAUAUAUAUAUAUAUAUA